rnacentral:lncRNA from 1 species
CCACAAGUAUACGAAAUAUGUCUGAUGCUUAAUUUUUUUAUUUAUUUUCCUUACAGUGUUUAUCUAAGGCUAAUCAAACAGGUGUAUAGAGUGCACAUAAUUAAAAAUAGUGAAGAUAAAUUCAGAGAAAAUAAUACUGGAAUAUAAUUCACAUUAAUUAAACAAUACUCCUAUUGCUUCUAAAUAGAAUUACUUACGGGGCAAUAUUUUCUUCCUUGAAAAAUAGUUGAUUAAAAAGGAACCGUCGUGUUAGCGUAAUCA